UACGAAGGGGGCUAGCGUUACUCGGAUUGACUGGGCGUAAAGGGCGCGUAGGCGGUUCGUACAGUCAGACGUGAAAUUCCUGGGCUCAACCUGGGGGCUGCGUUUGAUACGUGCGGGCUUGAGUUCGGAAGAGGGUCGUGGAAUUCCCAGUGUAGAGGUGAAAUUCGUAGAUAUUGGGAAGAACACCGGUGGCGAAGGCGGCGACCUGGUCCGAUGCUGACGCUGAGGCGCGAAAGCGUGGGGAGCAAACAGG
rnacentral:rRNA from 1 species